UACCUUCCCUCCUGGCCGUCACCAGAAGUCUCGCCAAAUCUCGCUGUCCACAGGCAAAGGGCGGCACUGAUAAGAGCAGGUGAUCGAGGGUGAGGAAGGCCUCCAUGUGGCCCUCGACUGCCCUCUUAUUGGCAUCUCAAGGGCUCCUUAAAAGAAUCAGGUCACCCCGACCUCAAGGCAGUGCUGCUAUCUGGAAGGCCAAAGGAAAAACAAAGAAUCACGCAUGCCCUGUUUUCCAACCUGCUGAGAAAAUCUGCCCUCCAUCAGCUGAUUAUUAGACAGCAAACAGAGAGCCCGACGAUGUUCUUAACAGGUUCCUACCUGGGCUGCAGCCUCCUUGCAGGCAGUGUCCUCUACCAAGUACAUGUCCGACCACAGAAUGACCUGGGUCAGGAACCUGGAAUUCGCCUGUCUCUCCCUUUCUCUCACUAAAAGGAGGAAACACAGUGCCGAGGAUGAAACCCAGGGCCUCCCACAGGCUAAGCAAGCGCUCUGCCACUGACCUGCACACCCGGCCCUUCAACCUCAUUUAUAAGGUUACUAAUCCCAUUCAUUAGGACCGUUUCAUAAUUUAAUUGCUCCCCAAGUCCACACCUCUUAACACUGUCACACUGGCAAUUAUGUCUCCACAUACGAAUCUCGGGGGACACAUUCGGACCAUAGCAACCCCAGUGCUAACGCAUGCUGAAGUAAUCCUCAAGUCCCACGCUCUCUUUCUCUCCGCUUCUCCACCUCCACUGGCACCGCCCCCGGUUAGGCAUUGUACCUGACUGUCCUCGUCCACAGUAUUGCUCCAUCCUCCUACAUUAUUACCUCCCUGUCUCGAUUUCGCCUGCUUCCUUCUAACCCUCACUCUCAUGACUGAUCGAGCUGGAAUUCGACGCCCAUCAGAUCAUGGCACGCUUCCGCUCCAAGCUCUUUAUUGGGCUGGCGUGGUGGUGCACGCGUGUG